rnacentral:tRNA from 1 species
GAGGGCAUAGGUCAGUGGUAGAGCACAUGCUUAGCAUGCAUUAGGUCCUGGGUUCAAUCCCCAGUACCACCA